GACGACGGCUGGCGGCGUGGAUUAGGCAUGCAAGUCGAACGGUAGGAUACCUUCGGGUAUCUGAGAGUGGCGAACGGGUGAGUAACACGUAGGUGAAUCUACCCUCAAGAUUGGGACAACCCAGGGAAACUUGGGCUAAUACCGGAUGAAAGCAGCAGUGAUGUUGUUUGAAAGGUGGCGUAAGCUGCCGUCUGGGGAUGAGCCUGCGCUCUAUUAGUUAGUUGGCGGGGUAAAGGCCCACCAAGGCGAUGAUAGAUAGGCGGCCUUAACGGGUGGUCGCCCACACUGGGAUUGAGAUACGGCCCAGACUCCUACGGGAGGCAGCAGUCGAGAAUAGUCUACAAUGGCCGAAAGGCUGAUAGUGCGACGCCGCGUGAACGAAGAAGCCCUUCGGGGUGUAAAGUUCUUUUAUAUGUGAGCAGUGCUUUCUAUGUGAACAGCAUGGGGAGAGAGAUAUUAGCAUAUGAAUAAGCAACGGCUAACUCCGUG
rnacentral:rRNA from 1 species